rnacentral:rRNA from 1 species
GACGAACGCUGGCGGCGUGCUUAACACAUGCAAGUCGAACGGAUAGGCCCUGCUUUUGUGGGGUGCUCGAGUGGCGCACGGGUGUGUAACACGUGAGUAACCUGCCCUUGACUUUGGGACAACUUCAGGAAACCGGGGCUAAUACCGGCUAGGAGCUCCUGCUGCAUGGUGGGGGUUGGAAAGUUUCGGCGGUUGGGGAUGGACUCGCGGCUUAUCAGCUUGUUGGUGGGGUAGUGGCUUACCAAGGCUUUGACGGGUAGCCGGCCUGAGAGGGUGACCAGCCACAUUGGGACUGCGAUACGGCCCAGACUGCUACGGGGGGCAGCGGUGGGGAGUAUUGCACAAUGGGCGGAAGCCUGAUGAGGCAGCGCAGCGUGCGAAAAGACGUACUACGGGUGAGAAACCGCUGUAGCCUGAUACGAAGCGGUAGUGACGGUAAUGGGAAAAGAAGCACCGGCUAACUACGUG